CUUGCUUAAGAUAGAGCAGACAGAAAAGAUUUUUAAUCAUUGGUUAAUCUCUAUCCAUUUAUUCUUUUAUCUUUCAUUUUUGAACAUUCCCCUUAUCCACUGGGUGUUGAGAAUCUUCGUCAACCUCCUUCACGAUCGUGCUCGCAGAAUGAGGAAUUCCGGUCGUACCUUGGGGUGUUAUUUCCGAAUGACGUCAUCCUUUUUUUUAUGAAAUUAAUGAUAAAAGAUAAAACAGGAAAUAUUAUAGUUACUGACCCAGUUUUCAACGUACUAUUCAGCUCGGGGUAGAUAAAAAUAGUAAUUAUAAUUUUUUAAUAUUUGAGACUAAAGAUUUAUAAAUGUUAUCGACACCCUAAGGUGGGUGUACUUAGAAUUGUUGUCUCACUUUAGGUUCGUAGGGGACAAAAAAAAAAUUGGGGUUUUUUACUCUUAAGGUGUUUUUUAUCUAUUAUUUCUUACUUUGUCGUCCCUUGAACUCCCUUUGUUUAAUCUUUAACGGUUUUCGUACUGUCCUAUUACAGUUUUUAAUCGUGGUUUUAAUGUUGUAUUUUAGUUGACUGGACGAGACGUAGAAAGGUAAACUGAAUUAGAACAUUCUAGUAGAGUUGACUCCGGACUCUGUUGAUUGACAUUGUCAAAGGUUUGAUUAUUAUUUUGACCGUAUUUUUCGUAUCAACUUAAAGGCUUCGACACUAAUGUUUAAUGAAGUAAAGGACGCCUAGAAUUAUAAGUUUCAGGUAACUUCGGAAGGGAGACCAGCGCCUUAUAGGAAGCCGUUUGCCUCGCCGUGGAGCAUGAGAGGGUCGCUGCAGUCGCCGCUGCCAUCCACCUCCAAUAGACCCACCUAUAACUAUGUUUCAACGGAUCGGUGGACACACACACACAUACGCUCUCUCUCUCUCUCUCUCUCUCUCUCUCUCUCUAAUCGUUUUCCUCUUUUCUCUCAAAGUUGAGAUCUGUUUAAACACGUCUUUUAUUUUAAUCGUCUCACUUCAAAGUGUCUUUUCCGUAAUCUAAACUUCUUCGUACUUUGUCUACGUUGUUUGUCUCCGGAUUCUAUUUAUAAAAUCAGGUCCAAGUCGUUGCUUUUUGUAUGACUCUACAAACUAGCGAGUUUUCUCAAUAGUCACCAAAUGUUCUUGUAUGGUAGCGUUUCUUUUAGGUACUUAAUAAAAGAAAAGUCUACCCUAAUUUUCUUUUAAAUCUUUUUACCAACCUUUAUCUUUUCAUGGAGGAGCUGUUAAAGUAGGAAACAGUGGCCACUUGCGUUAAGCAAUAGUUGGAACUACUUGGAGGAGUUUUGGAUACCACUAUAAAAUGUCCUCAAUGUCAGUAUCGGUAUACAUAUCUUCGGCCAUCAUGUAGUUCUGUUAUAAAGUUUCAAACUAGUCGUUUACUUUGUCAUCCUUAAGGUGCGUAAUGCUAAAAAAGUAACAGGAAACAUCCUCUCAUUUAUAUUUUUAAUAGUAGCAGGUAUCCAACUAACCUUCGUAGUAAUAUGUAUGUAUAUAUAUAUAUAUAUAUAUAUAUAUACGUUGAACCUUUGACAAUAAAAUCAAAGGCAAGUUUCUAAUUUUACUACCAUUUUAGUUAAUCGUGACAACUCUAUCUUUUUUAUAGUGUAAAUGGUCUUUGUCUUACAAGGAGAAUGUUUAAUAGUAUAUAGUUUUCUCUUGUACUUUUCAUCUGUCUUAUAUAAUCUUUUCCACGGUCAAAAGUUUACGUAUCAUGUCUUUGAACUUGGGAGAGGGACCAUUAGAACUGUAAUAUAUCGUAAUAUAUGAUUAACUCUAAGAGAUAAGGUAAAAGUAACGGUUUUUGGCUUUGGUAUUAUAAGGGCGAAAACAAUUUGUUUGGUGAUCUUCUUAGUUCUUUUCUUUUAGCGGUUUCAAUCGACUUAUUUCUAUUUUUGAGUUAGAUGACAAAAACUUUAGGAGGUUAGAUGCUUUCUUAUAUAUCUCAAAGCGUUAAGUCUCUUUACCUUUUUAGAAGUUGAUUUAUACUUGACAAUUGCCGUGGCAUAUAGUUUCUUCUUAGUUAACGUACGGUUCGUUUUAGUUCAUUAAUUGUGGUAAAGAAAUAACUUUACUACGAUCGUUUGUAAGUGUUAUUUAUAAGACAUCUGACUUUGUAUUACGUAGUCUUUUCAUGUGUUGAUGGUUUAAAAAUGAGUGGUUCUCCCGUAAUAGUUCUGCGAAACGACGGUAGACUAUAAGAAAGUAAAAUUCAAGGACAACGACAAAGUCUGUUUAUUUUUCGUGUAAUCUUAAACUGAUCGAUGUUAUCUCAUACUUAUGUAGGUUAUUUACAUUCUUUUUACGUUAUCAUUCGUGCGUACUACAUUUAGCAUGUUAUGCGAUUUAAUCAAAACGUGUCCCUAUGAAGUCAAGGAACCGUAAAUGCAUUAAAUCCGUUUAUGUUUAUAAUUUCUAGAGAAGUUUAUACAUGAGGCACGACGGUGGUUCCAGUAACCAUUAUCGAAUUAAGAGGAUUUGAACUGUAAAAGAGUUUAGGUGGGUGAUUACUCAUGUCCUUGUUGUGACAUUGAAUGUAAAACUUUGGUGUGGGAUUCCGGGUUUCUGGUCGAUUAGAUGAAAAGACGUUAAACGGGUCCCAAGUUGGUAUAAAACUUGGAGAUUUCCUGAAGUUAAGUAUGAGUCUACUUACACGUCUCAUAAAUUCUCUCGUUACGGUGGUUGUCUAUUUUGUUAUCUUGUUUUGUAAAAUCUAUUUUAUCUAGAAAGAAUGAAUUCAUGAAUUGAUCGAGUAGUGGAUAAAAAACAAGUUAGUUUGUGAAGGCAAAAAUGCAUGAUGUAACAGAGGAAGUUGAGGAGGAAUGAAAGGGACGAAUAAAAUGUAGAUUUGAAUUAGGUGAGAAUUGUUUUAAUUAACAAUAUGGUUAAAACCACAUAUACUGGAAUCAUAAAACCUAACCAUUUUAAGGAUACAUGAAAUUAGGAUCUGGUCUAUCGUCACUAAGACCGUAAUGUAAUUCGUAAAGUUUCUAGUCAGCCUCCUGAACAAAUGUCAUUCAGAAGAUGUAACAGUUCAACUAUAUAGUGAAAGGUUUCUUUCCCGUCAUCAGGCUGUGUACUAGUAAGACUAUGGAUACAAACAAACGUACUAUUAUAAUAUGGAGAUAAGUAUGGAGAUGAGUAUGGAGGUAUGAAGAUAAAUGAAGCUAACUCUUAUACGUUUAAAAACUUCAUACCAAUUUACCGUAAAGGUAAAAUACAAUAAGGUACAGGACACUCGAUCCUUUCACUCGUUGUUUUCUUUCCUUUGUACUAGUUUAAUAUCACGUUGAGAGUACCUCCAUCUCUUCUCAUAAGGAAGGUAGAGUUUGACCUUGUAGUGAUUGAGAGUACCUUUUAAUCUACAUCUUUUCUCUUAAGGAAGAUCUUUGUUCAAUACAUGAUGGCGUUGUUUUGUAUAUUAGGGUCUAAUGUCUUUAUAACCAUUAAUUUUGUUGUUUAACAUUAUUUAUAGGAGUAUUUUUUUAUAUAUAGACAGUGACUACGUGAUGUAUUCGAGAGGAGGCUAGUAUAGAUGUACGUAAUAAGGUAUUCUCAGUUUUAUCUUCUCUUUUCUUUCUACACAUUGUACAACCUUGUUUAUGGCGUCGCUUUUAGACUAACACUAAUUUUAGAUUGAUUGAAACACUAUUUUUAUUUUUGUUUGUUUGUAUGUCUAUUUGCGUUUAUUUAGUUGAGUGUCUAUUAGCGAUUUAGGGUUUUAACACCUUUUCCUUAUAGUUGUAUAAUUAGGCCUUCGCACGCUCCGUGACGGGAUUCCGCAUAAGGGCAGGAAUGCACGCCUUAAUUGNAUUGUGAUUAAAUCUGACGGUGCUAAUCUAUUAAAAUAUAUACAUAUAUAUUUUUGCAUAUAAUUCUGUUUGACAACUUGCUUGUAUGCUUGUCAUUCAAAUUUAAAUAAAUUGGGAUUAGCAUUUUUAAUUUCUAAUUGGAUAUUGUUUAUCUGCAAAUUAUUUUUUUUAUUGUUAUUAUUUUUACCGUACGGAUUCAAAAGGGUGGAUUUUUUUUUGCGACAGUAAAUAACAUUUUAUUUAUGUACGGUUUGAGUUUUGCUAUUGAAAAUUCCUUAAAAUUUUUUUGUUAAAAAAAAAGGGAUUUGCUACAGUGAUUUUUUUAAAGUGUACGGUUUUUUUAAAAAUUGUUACAGUAAUUAUUUUUAGCUUUCCUGUGUGUACGGGUUUUAGUUUUGCUACAGUAAAACCCAUUGCUAAUUAAAAAAAAAUUGCUACAGUACUUUCUUUUCCACUGUUGAGAUUUAUUAAAACUUAUUUUCAAAUAGAUUUUAAAACUUAAUUUUAGAGAUAUAAAUAUACUAUUUUUCGAAAAAAAAAAAGGGAAGGAAAAAUAUUUUGUUCCAAGGGAGAUUUGAUUUCACAGUAUCUAACCUGCAACACUAUUUCUAAAUUUUAUUUUUUCUAUUAUUUCAGCAAUUUUUAAAAUCUAUUUGCUGCAUAGAUAUUAUUUGAUUGCAUAUGUUAUUUGCUCGAAAUUACCUAAUUGAAAUCAAUUUUGUUUUAAAAAAAAUUGUUUGGUCCGUCUUUUGCUGUUGAAUCAAACUCUAUUCAACAUGAUUAAAUUUCAUGAUUUUUAAAUUUUAGUAUAUCUCUGAAAUUGUGGGGGAGCGUCUUUAUCAGUUUGAUAAAUUUUGAUAUUAUAAUUGCUCUCAUGUUUUCAUUUUGUCUAUCAUUGUGUUUAACUUGUAAAUAAAAUUUAUAAAUUCUAAAGUUAACAUUUAUAUUAUAUUGAGAUAGAAAUCUGUUAGAUGGUUAAUUAUCUAUCAUAUUAUUUAUUUGAGUUUUGUCAGAUUUGACUAGAAUCUUGCAGAUUACCAGAUUGAAGGCCUAAAGAGGACUAUGGUCCUGUAGUCAUCGAGGGGGAUGGGACUUUGCCCGUAAAGGGCCUUCCUGCAGUGGGAACCCAACCUUUGUGAUAGGAGAUCCCUUGAAGAAGGUUCAAUGUGGUAAAAACAAGCUGUCAGGUUGGCCAAGAGCACUUUCUACAAAUUUUAUAAAGGAGCUUUAGCUCCAAUCCCAUCCCUAUGGUGAGUAGUGCUCUGUGUAGUGGAUCAGGUUGAGCUGAGAGCUCUUAAUGGGAUCCAAGGCGAUAAUUUUCGCGAGAUGUGACUCUACACACAUCCCUGGAGGAAACCACCUAUAUAAGAGUAUCCGUAUGUGGCCGCGGCUAUGUGAUAUGGGCUAUCCAUAGAAACUCUUAUGAAAAAUCAAGGUACUGUGCAUGGCCAUUAACGCACAGACCCGCGACGGAGAAUUCUGUACUGUGUGUGUGGUGGUUGAAGUCAGGGUCAAAGGAACGUAGUUCAAGACCUGGUUCACUCCGAUUCCUUCUGAUGGAAAUCACUUACACUAAGUGGGGUUAAGUCUCUUAAAGACACCUCACCCAUUGCAUAGUAUAAAACACCCAGUAAAUUUGAUUUUAAUUCGUAAUUUUAAAAUUUUGAGUUUUGUGGGGGAUUGUUGGUGAAAAACUCAAAAUUUUGAGUUUGAAUUUAUUUUAUUUGAACUUUAAAUUAUUUAUUAUUUAUUAUUUAUGAUUCUAUUUAUUUACUACUUUAUUUAUUUUAUUUUAUUUAAUUAUUUUAGUAUCUUUCUUAAUGAGAAAGAAACUAACGGAAUUUUUUUCCGUUCCGUUUCUUCCGUGUUACGUUGGGCGGGUUCCGCUUCUUUCUCGUAAGAGAAAAACGUAAAAUCCUCUUUCCUUUUUAGGUCUUUUUCCUUUUCUUCUUGCUUAAGAUAGAGCAGACAGAAAAGAUUUUUAAUCAUUGGUUAAUCUCUAUCCAUUUAUUCUUUUAUCUUUCAUUUUUGAACAUUCCCCUUAUCCACUGGGUGUUGAGAAUCUUCGUCAACCUCCUUCACGAUCGUGCUCGCAGAAUGAGGAAUUCCGGUCGUACCUUGGGGUGUUAUUUCCGGUUAAUCCCGCACGUAAGGACGGGAAUACGCCUUAGGGCAGUGCCUCGCACGCUUUCGGAUUAAUAUAUUGAUAUUCUUUUUCCACAAUUUUGAAAUUUAGCGAUUAUCUGUGAGUUGAUUUAUUUGCAUUUAUCUGUAUGUUUGUUUAUUUUUAUUUUUAUCACAAAGUUAGUUAGGUUUUAAUUGCAACCGG
rnacentral:lncRNA from 1 species